rfam:Ricinus communis cultivar Hale ctg_1100012357967, whole genome shotgun sequence.
CCCAUUGAUGAAGAAGACUUAAUCAUACAUGUUCUUGCUGGGGUCGGACUAGAUUUUGCUCCUGUUGCUGCUGCAACCCGCUUGCGUGAUAAUCUAAUCACCUUUGAUAAAUUGUUUGAUAAGUUGGAGGCUUUUGAAC